rnacentral:rRNA from 1 species
AGCGAACGCUGGCGGCAGGCCUAACACAUGCAAGUCGAACGAACCUUUCGGGGUUAGUGGCGGACGGGUGAGUAACACGUGGGAACGUGCCUUUAGGUUCGGAAUAACUCAGGGAAACUUGUGCUAAUACCGAAUGUGCCCUUCGGGGGAAAGAUUUAUCGCCUUUAGAGCGGCCCGCGUCUGAUUAGCUAGUUGGUUGAGGUAAUGGCUCACCAAGGGGGCGAUCAGUAGCUGGUCUGAGAGGAUGAUCAGCCACAUUGGGACUGAGACACGGCCCAAACUCCUACGGGAGGCAGCAGUGGGGAAUCUUGCGCAAUGGGCGAAAGCCUGACGCAGCCAUGCCGCGUGAAUGAUGAAGGUCUUAGGAUUGUAAAAUUCUUUCACCGGGGACGAUAAUGACGGUACCCGGAGAAGAAGCCCCGGCUAACUUCGUG